rnacentral:rRNA from 1 species
UACAGAGGGUGCAAGCGUUAAUCGGAAUUACUGGGCGUAAAGCGCGCGUAGGUGGUUUGUUAAGUUGGAUGUGAAAUCCCCGGGCUUAACCUGGGAACUGCGCUUGUAACUGGCAAGCUGGAGUGUGGCAGAGGGGGGUGGAAUUCCACGUGUAGCAGUGAAAUGCGUAGAGAUGUGGAGGAACACCGAUGGCGAAGGCAGCCCCCUGGGCUAACACUGACGCUCAUGCACGAAAGCGUGGGGAGCAAACAGG